GACGAACGCUGGCGGCGUGCUUAACACAUGCAAGUCGAGCGGUAAGGCCCUUUCGGGGUACGACGAGCGGCGAACGGGUGAGUAACACGUGGGUGACCUGCCCUCAGCUCUGGGAUAAGCCUGGGAAACCGGGUCUAAUACUGGAUAUGACUCCAUGACGCAUGUUGUGGGGUGGAAAGCCUUGUGCGGCUGAGGAUGGGCCCGCGGCCUAUCAGCUUGUUGGUGGGGUGAUGGCCUACCAAGGCGACGACGGGUAGCCGGCCUGAGAGGGCGACCGGCCACACUGGGACUGAGACACGGCCCAGGACUCCUACGGGAGGCAGCAGUGGGGAAUCUUGCGCAAUGGGCGAAAGCCUGACGCAGCGACG
rnacentral:rRNA from 1 species